rnacentral:rRNA from 1 species
AUCGAACUCUAGCGGGAUGCUUUACACAUGCAAGUCGAACGCGUGGCGGACGGGUGAGUAAUAUAUCGGAAUUUGCUCAGUAGCGGGGGAUAACUACUCGCAAGUUUGGCAAAUACCGCUUACUAUCGGUUCGGUCGAUAUCGGAUUAGCUAGUUGGUGGGGUAAAGGCUCACCAAGGCGACGAUCCGUAGCUGGCUUGAGAGUACGACCAGCCACACUGGGUCUGGGACACGGCCAAGACUCCUUCGCGAGGCAGCAGUGGGGAAUUUUGGACAAUGGGCGAAACCCUGAUGCAGCCAUCAGGCGUGUAUGGGAAGGCCUUAGGGUUGUAAGGUACUUUUGGCAGAGAAGCGGUAUCUGCAGAAUAAGCACAGGCUAACUACGUGCCAGCAGCCGCGGUAAUAC